AUCUAUUUGCAUCGGGCAGACAGACAUCUCUGUAGCGACUAACGCUACUAGUUGCCAAGGUUAGUCUGGUAAACAACAGUACCAGAAUCUUUUUUGAUUGGCUGAGUGGUUCACCAACAUAGCCAGGCUGGUUGCUAGCCAAGAUGUAUAAUUCUAAAUACCUUAGAUACUGGUUACUCGGUUUCUAAGCGUUGCUAGACAGGGGCGUAUCUAAGGGUGGGCCUGGGUGGGCCUGUGCCCGACCAACUCAGCAGACCAAAAAAUUUUUUCUUUUGUAUAUUAGUCCUUUUAAAAAUAUUGCUCACUUUAUUAUGAUAGCAAUGAGACAAGACUAGCAUAGCUAAUAGUUUUAGCCAGUGUAAAUAUAAUGAUGACAUGGUAGAGACUUCCAUAGCUCCAUUUGGGCAAUUGGGCUGCCAUUUUAAAAAUAAUAACUACUACUAACCAAUCAGUUAUUAGACUAUUCACAUUAAUUAUUAAAGUAAUCGAGUUGAAAAUGGCUAAGAAACUCUGCUGAGUCUAUUUGAAUGUCUUCCCAAGGCCAGUACUACUACUAAUGGAGAAAAUAUAAGCACUGAAGUGCACAUCUUAGCUUAAUUAAAGUAAUAAUCGUAGUAUUUAAUUGACCACGCCCAUCGUGAAUAUUAAUGAGUUCUAAAAAAUUUUCGCGGCGCGCUUCGUGCGCCGCAUAUUUUUUCUCCAUGCCCAGCCAACUCUCAAAGCUUAGAUACGCCCCUGUUGCUAGAAUCCCUCGGAAGUCAUAGUAACCUCGCGCUGCGCGCUCGGUUACCUAUACACUUCCUCGGGAUUCUAUCAAUGCUUAGAAACCUCGUAACCAGUAUCUAACCUAUAUAUAAUUGACAAAAGGGACCUUAUGGCGGGUAGUGAAAUUUGUCUUUCUAGCCUAAGAAAUCCAAGUUCCUGAGCCCCAUUUAUCAUAAAAUUACAUGUCCAGAAAUUAGAGGACACGGAACUUAAUUUUUCAGUAAAACU